AGGAGCGUAGCUCAGUUGGUAGAGCAGUGGUUUCCAAAACCACCGGUCGGGGGUUCGAGUCCCUCCGCUCCUGC
rnacentral:tRNA from 1 species